GUUUACUUUCUUGAAUUCCUAAGGACGCAUGGAUAUAGUUCGCCCUGUGUGUCAGUAUCUCAUCCCAGGCGCCACGCGUAUAUGGGAACUUUUCAACCUUAACAGAGGUUAAGCAACUUCCACAACAUCACCUAGCUGAUCUGAGCAGCAAAGCCUUUAGACACAGUUCUGACUUUGGAGCUGCACUCGUUCUUACUCCACGCUGACUGUGGGUUCCUUUCAGUCUUUCCAGACCCCUGGAAGCUCUGCUGUAGCUGCAUUUCACCCUGCGUAUGGAAUCCUUAGGGACCAUAGUUUCCAAACUUAAACUGCUUCAACGGCCUGCUCAUGGUGAUACAACUGCCAUCACAAACUAUGUGUCUUUAGCUCCAGUUUACAGAUGAAGAAACCGAGGUUUACAGAGAUUAUGUAAGUUAUCAAAAUAGCAGUCAAGAACAUAGACAGUAUUCCAGAACCCUCACAUUAAUCUCUGUGAGCAUUAUGCUGCCUCCUGCAGAACCCCUAACUCCUCGGGAGUUACUACCCUUACAAAUGAUGUAGAAAAUCACUCCAUGCCCCCAACAUUCCUCACCUCCUUCUUCCCCUGUCAUCCCUUAGGUUCCCCUAGGCUUUAAAUAAUUUGUGGGUUCAGUACUAGAGAAAGCACUGGAAUAGGGGUGAACCAGAUGGGCAAUGUUGCCUUACUGAGCCCUUAUUCCAGGGUGCAGGGGCAAGUAUCAAUACACAGAUACCAUACUGACUUAAUAAUGUGAUGAUGGAAGUUCUCUACAGCAGUGCUGAUCAAAGUGUGGUCAGAGGCAUGGACAUCACCUGGAUGCUUGCUCGAAAUACACGAUCUCAGUCUUCAUCCUGGAUGUACUGCAUGAGAAUCUGCAUUUUAACAGUAUCCCCACGUGGUAUAGAUACACUCAAAGUGUGAGAAGCACUGGUAUAAAGACUGUACAAUAAGCUAAUGUGCUGGAGAGAAAUUAGAGGCGCCCCUUCUAAAUAGGGAAGCCUGAUGAGAGGAAAUGUGAAUUGUCGCUUAAAGGACAGAAUGAGCCCUCCAGGCAGAAGCAACAGAGAGCGCAGAGGUUCAGAGGGAGUCAAGCAGUUGUUUUAUUUAAAUUAGAUGGAGCUUGCCUAGAACUUAAAACAGGGUGAGAAGGGGGAAAAAUAGAAUCAAGUAAGGGUAAAGAAAUAAAGAAGUGGGUAGGAUCCAAAUAUCCAGGGCUGGCAGGGCACACAGACUAAAGGGUUUGAAAUGGCAUUGAGAGUACUGGGUGGCACAGAGAGGUUUUGGGCAGCAGAGGGGUACAGCCUGAUCAAUGUCCAGUCUCUCCCUGCCCUGUUCUAUUCUAGAGCAGGGCCACCGUGUCCACCUUCUCUCCCACGUGUUUCACACUUAGUGGAGACUUAACUGUUGAACAAACUGCUCCCUCUUGCUGCUCCAUGUAAGUUCCUGCUUCUAAAAUCCUAAGCACAGAUCGCUGCUGCUGUAUAAGCUAUCUGUAUCACAGUGUGGGUUAAAUAGGCUUCUGUGGCCUAUCAUCAUUUAGAAAUUGUUCCCACAACAAAAUCUAUUCUGAAUUUUGAACAACCAGCUCCCACAUGGAGAGCUGGAUCACUAUCUGGUUGUGAAUUGAGUGGCUUUUAUACAGACAAGGUGUGUGUAUGUGUGUGUGUGUGGAGGGGGGCACAAGUGUGAUUCCAGACUUGUGAAAUUGUAGACAUUUGGAGCUAGAAGGGAGCUCCUCUUUUAUCCCACAGAUACUGAUCCAUUAUCCACUUUUAUCCCACAGAUACUGAUCCACUAUCAUGUAGAGUGCAUAGAUGACAAGACAUAUGGAAAAGGACACAAGACCUAGCUCUUACCUUAGAGAGUUCACAGGGUCUCCAAGUUUGGCAGCUGAAUGAAAUCACCAGCAGUUUUCAUAUGAAAACAAAUGUAUCAGCUGGAUUCACGAGGCAACCAACACUGAUGGAGGACUGAACUUGGAGAUGGAAGGAAUCUGGGUCUCUCCAUCACCACUUGGAACUGAGGGAAGCUGACGGGCAACACUCCCUUAGGACACUUUUGUAAGUAAGAAAUAAACUUGUAUCGUGAUUAUGCCCUCAUAAUUUUUAGGGCUUCUUCCUUACAGUCAUCAUAUUAUCUGAACUCAUACAACUUCUUUCUUUGCUUUAAACAACAAAAAUUGCCCCUUGCUGGUCUAAUGAGAUAAAACAACAACAACAACAACAACAAAAAAAACAAAGACCCCCGAUAGCAUGAGUCAAUGGAAAAUGAAUCACAGUUCCAUAAAAUAAACAUCUUCAUAAUUUGGAGACAAAAUUCAUUCAAACAUGACUUAUUAGACAUGACUAUUAUUUAAAACUGUUUGUCCUCUAUCCUUUUCCCUUCAAAUGAAGUAAACAUGGUUCGAUGGAGAAAAUGUGAAUGCAGAUGAUGCUCAUAAUAUUUCAAACUCUGAAAGGUGUUCUGAUGAUUAAAUUAUUUCAAAUUAAUAACAGGAGAAGAGAACAAAGUAUUUACUGUAAAAAAAAAAAAAAAUCAUUAGCUUCUUUUUCCUUUGGCCUGGAAUUGUUUCUCUCAUUUUCUUCAGUCACACUUUAUUCAGUUGAGUGUCUGACUUUCUGAGCCAGCUUGUCUUUUAUGAAUUUUCCAGGUGGUUUGAAACCCAGAGUAAUUAAGUGACUUCUGCAAGGUUACAUACAAAGAGCUGCAGCCUCCCAUCUGAAGCCUCCUUUUUCCGCUUCUGGGCUUCCCUCCUCUGCAUAUACCCCCCCAACCUCCAUGCAGAAAACCAAGCAGACAUUAGGUCUUUUUCUUGGGAAACAAGCAUAAAAACCUCUUUUAACCUUAAAAUUAACUUACUUACUUACCAUUCCUAAGCUCUUGCAUUUUCAAAGUUUGGGAAUCCAUCUUUGAUGUGCCAAUUCCUGAAAGCAUAAAGAUGAACUCUCUUUGCUGAAGUUGGUGCCUGUGGAAUAUUCCCAGACACGUGGAAAUAAACUCUCUGCUUCUCUUUCAGCUCUGUAUCCCGUGCUUUAGCGGAGAAAGGGAAAGUGCAUGGAAUUAAAACGCAGACAUGGCACCCAGUUACAGCCCCCUGUGGUUCUAGCUUUAUGCUUUUGUAUGACAGGCUCAGAAGAGAGACAAUAGCUAGUACAUGAGCUUAAUUACUUUGUGUGCACCACUUGCAAGCUGCAGUCUGGACCUGGGUUUGAUUUAGUGCUUUUGAAUAGAACAGAGAGAGGACCGUUAAGGCUUAUUACCGCAAUUGUGGUUUCCAAGCUUCAUAUCCACACAGA